UUGGGUUAAGUCCCGCAACGAGCGCAACCCCUGUCCUUAGUUGCCAUCGAGUAAUGUCGGGCACUCUAGGGAGACUGCCGGGGACGACCCGGAGGAAGGCGGGGAUGACGUCAAGUCAUCAUGCCCCUUAUGUCCUGGGCUACACACGUACUACAAUGGCCAGUACAGAGCGAUGCAAAAGCGUGAGCUGGAGCGGACCGCAAAAAGCUGGUCUCAGUUCGGAUCGCAGGCUGCAACCCGCCUGCGUGAAGUCGGAAUCGCUAGUAAUCUCGGGUCAGCAUACCGAGGUGAAUACGUUCCCGGGCCUUGUACACACCGCCCGUCACACCACGAAAGUCUGCUACACCCGAAGCCCGGUGACUCAACCGCAAGGAGAGAGCCGUCGAAGGUGGAGCCGAUGAUUGGGGUGAAGUCGUAACAAGGUACCA
rnacentral:rRNA from 1 species